rnacentral:lncRNA from 1 species
GAAGAAAUCUGUAGUCAUAAUUUUGUGCUCCAUUUUUAUUUAGGGGAGGAACAGGAAGAGAAGAGUGUGGCCUCCUAGAAAUCUAGCACGGAGAAAGGUAAGUCUGAUUUGUCUUUUUUUGGUCUUGUUUUGUUUUUUUUGCUGUCAUUGUAAUUUUUUUUAUGCAUUCGACUAUUAUACGUUAUACUGUUAUAUUAUGUUGGCCAGACUGGUCUUGAACUCCUGACCUCGUGAUACUCAGCCUCCCAAAGUGCUGGGAUUACAGGAGUGAACCACCAAGCCCGGCUUGACCUCUUGGCUUUUACCAAAGGAUGUUUGCUUCUGAGGAAGCUGGAAGCUGCAGCCACAAUGUGCCUUUGCAGGGGAGCCUGAGAGCCACAGAUGUUAAGGAGAACUGCAAACCACUGUUCAAUGAAAUAAAAGAGAAUACAAACAAAUGGAACAACAUUCCACGCUCAUGGGUUGGAAGAAUCA